UCUUCGGAGAGUUUGAUCCUGGCUCAGGACGAACGCUGGCGGCGUGCCUAAUACAUGCAAGUCGAGCGAAUCAAUGGGAGCUUGCUCCCUGAGAUUAGCGGCGGACGGGUGAGUAACACGUGGGCAACCUGCCUAUAAGACUGGGAUAACUUCGGGAAACCGGAGCUAAUACUGGAUAUGUUCUUUUCUCGCAUGAGAGA
rnacentral:rRNA from 1 species